GCUUCCGUAGCUCAGCUGGCAGAGCAGCGCAUUCGUAAUGCGCAGGCCGUCGGUUCAAAUCCGACCGGGAGCUCCA
rnacentral:tRNA from 1 species